GUUAUUAUAGCUUAAAGGUAAAGCCGAUCACUGUUAAUGAUCUGAUGUAGGUUCGAUUCCUUCUGAUAACG
rfam:Yarrowia lipolytica complete mitochondrial genome, strain W29